GAUCCUGGCUCAGGAUGAACGCUGGCGGCGUGCUUAACACAUGCAAGUCGAACGAAGCACUCUAUUUGAUUUUCUUCGGAAAUGAAGAUUUCGUGACUGAGUGGCGGACGGGUGAGUAACGCGUGGGUAACCUGCCUCAUACAGGGGGAUAACAGUUGGAAACGACUGCUAAUACCGCAUAAGCGCACAGGAUUGCAUGAUCCGGUGUGAAAAACUCCGGUGGUAUGGGAUGGACCCGCG
rnacentral:rRNA from 1 species